rnacentral:rRNA from 1 species
AGUGAACGCUGGCGGUAGGCCUAACACAUGCAAGUCGAACGGCAGCACAGUAAGAGCUUGCUCUUACGGGUGGCGAGUGGCGGACGGGUGAGGAAUACAUCGGAAUCUACUUUUUCGUGGGGGAUAACGUAGGGAAACUUACGCUAAUACCGCAUACGACCUACGGGUGAAAGCAGGGGAUAUUCGGACUUUGCGCGAUUGAAUGAGCCGAUGUCGGAUUAGCUAGUUGGCGGGGUAAAGGCCCACCAAGGCGACGAUCCGUAGCUGGUCUGAGAGGAUGAUCAGCCACACUGGAACUGAGACACGGUCCAGACUCCUACGGGAGGCAGCAGUGGGGAAUAUUGGACAAAGGGCGCAAGCCUGAUCCAGCCAUACCGCGUGGGUGAAGAAGGCCUUCGGGUUGUAAAGCCCUUUUGUUGGGAAAGAAAAGCAGCAGGUUAAUACCCCGCUGUUCUGACGGUACCCAAAGAAUAAGCACCGGCUAACUUCGUG